CAAGGAGUAGUUUAAGAAGAAAAUUUUAAUUUUGGAGAUUAAUGAUGGGGAUUUCCCUUUCCUUGA
rnacentral:tRNA from 1 species